GUUUUAUCUUCAAGAAUAAUUCAGAUAAUGGAUUACUUGAGUAUCAUAAACAUUUAGGGUUUAACAGAUUUGUUACAUAUAGACGUUGUAUCAUGGAUUUAAAAGACCAUAGCCAGCGGGCAGCGGCGGGCGGAGCGACCGAGGGGCGGCGCGGGCUGGGCGGCUGGUGCGGGGGUCCGUGCUUCUUCGCGGUGGAGGGCUGGGGUUCGCCGGAGACGCCGGGUUGCUCCGCGUUGCCAGGUUACCGAGCGCGUGCCCCGCGCCCGCUCUUCCGCCCGGGCCGCCCUCGGCGCCGCCUGAGCCGCGGUGCGGGCUGCGCGGGGCGCCGCUUCCGCGGAAGCCUGGGUCGGGCGCUGCGUGCGGGACUCUCGUCGCUCGUGGACGGGGCGCGAGCGCGCGGGGGACGUAGGACGCCGACCUGGGCCUCCCCGGCGCUCCGGCUCCGCUCAGGGCGCCCGCUCAGGGGCCUCCGGCGCGAGGCCCCCUAUGUGGUCAAGAUGGCGGCGCCCAGGCGGGCCGCGCCGAGGUGAGCUGGAGCCGGGCCCGGAGAGGGGCGAGUCUGCCACGCCCAGGACUUGGACCCCGGGCUGGUCUCCCGUCUCCCGGGGAGCGGCGGCAGGCUUUUCUUGGAGAACUGCCAGAUAAUGCCAUCCUGCCUCCUCACGGGCCCCGGGGAUGAGUCGCCCAGGGACUGAACUCCAGUAAAGCAGGUGAUUGGCUCAUGGGUUAAUUAUCUGAGAAGAGUAUUGUGCCAGCACACUUGAUACUACAGUAUUUCAUGUUUGACAGGACUGUUUAUCAAGCAUCUUCCUGUUCUCUAUGCUUGGACGUAUCAAUGAAUAAAUUAGACAAGAGCCUUUGCCUGCGUGCUCCUUCUUGCAUGCUUUCUCCCUCCUUACACUCUCGUGUGGAAACGGAUGUUAUAAAUAAAUUCUAUGCUUUGUCACAAGUUGAUGGGUGCUACGGGAUAAGGAAAAGGAUGUGAAGCUCCCUGAAGAGGCUUGGGUUGGGAGUGCUGGAGGAGUGUACAGAGCAGAGACUCAGCACCUUUCUGUACAGAAAUGGAGACAGGAAGAGGCCAGAGGAUGAAUGACAGGCACGAAUGAGGUGGAACUUUGAAGAGCAACAUGGAAAUGAAAUACUUCUUUUGUAUUUGGUAGGUGGGG